AUUUACCUGCUUUUACUAUCAGAGGGCACAAAAUGGACGGUUCAUGUAAAAGGGUUCGAUUAGGACAGGUUCUAGACGCGAUUCUCAACACACCAAUGGAAUGCGCUGGGCAGAUUCUGCCAGGUCUGCCGGAUCACCUCGCUAUGGAAUGUCUUGCCCGAGUCCCACUUGGUAGCCUGACCGGCGUGAGCAAGACAUGGCAGAAUAUUAUCUACGAUCCCUACUUCCAAAGUUUCAGGGCCUCUAUCGGCAGAAGCAAGCUUGACUGGGUAUACACAUUAGUGCAGAUGCAGGACAAGUCGUUCAAGUGGCGCGCAUUUGACCCUCUGUCUUCCCAAUGGCACGAUCUGCCUCCAACACCUCACCCGAUGGAUUUUCAGCUUCUAAAUCCAGGUUGCAUUGGGGUCUCCUAUUCCGUGCAGUGUGUCAGCACUAGCUCCAAACUCGUGAUGGUGGCCGCGGUUAAAGCAAAGAAGGAUGGGCAGCCACGGAUGACAGUGGAACCCGCGCUCGAGCACCCUUACAUCUUCGAUACCAGCACGAAUUCCUGGAAGCAGGGCUCCCCUUUCAGCGUGCCGCGCAAGUGGUGCGUCUGCGGGGUCGCUGACGAGAAGGUGUACGUCGCUAGCGGCUCCGGAAAGGAUUGGAGCCAGGAGCUCUCCAAAUCGGCUGAGUUUUAUAAUCUUGAGAACGACAAGUGGGAGAGGUUGCAGAAGUUGUCCACCUCGAAGUUCAGUGGAGAGGCAAUGAAUGCCGUCUUGAACAACAACAAACUGUACUUCGUGAGUGGGCGGGGAGUUUUCUCGAAAGACGGCGUUGUCUACGACCUCGGCACCAAUUCGUGGUUGGAGAUGUCGCCUGGUUUGAAGUGGGGCUGGAGAGGACCCUGCGUGUCAGUGAAUGGGAAAUUCUAUCUUCUGGAGACGCCGGCAGGGAAACUCAAGGUUUACGUCCCAGAGAGGGAUGAGUGGGAUACCAUUAUGUUGGAUUCCAGGCUGGCGAAUUUGGAGGUGUUUGUGGGCACUAAAGGAAAGAUUGUUGCCAUUGAAGCGGCGUCUGGGAAGGAUAAGGAGACGAAUGCGGGGAGCUUGUUGCGAGUCAUUGAUAUUGCCUCCGAGACGCCCCAAAUCUUCGACAUCCCUGUGCAGGAUGGCCAGGUUGUCUCCGUUCAAGUGCUGGCGAUGAUGAACCAGGCAAGUAAGCAAUAAUAUUUCGGAGAUGCAACAGUACCGGUGAAUUAUUGUCAUUUUUCCCAUCAUCGACAAGACGACUGCUACAGGAAGGACCCUCAAGAAUCGAUAAGACUGCGCACGGACAUUCUAGUCAGCAGCAGUCGUACUUGUGCCGCGAAGGUCCAUGAACUUUUGCAUCUUUUGGAAGAGUAUCAGCAUUGCGGACUCUAGAGAAUGUGAAUACGAUAGGAUUGAUGCGAUGGUGUUGAAAACAACCUGGGGAGAUGGCUGCUUCUUCGAUUUUUGCUUAAGUUGAAGUGACACUUGGCGCUCUGGUGUUCGAUAUCGUUGCAGCAACUCUUUCCUAUUAUUGAUUCUCAGUGUCACUUUCUCACUUCUGCUGAGACUGGGAUUUCUCAAGCAGGCAUGCAACUGCAUUAAGGUUUUGUUGUGAAACAUCUGGACUGAGAUUCAGGAUUCUUCAUUUAGGGAUCCGAUGAUCAGAGCCGCUGAAAUUGUUGAACACUAACACACUCAAUUUCGUUCAUGGCCAGAAAAGGAGGUGAAAAAGAAGUAUGCUAUUUGCGCAGCUUUUUGUAGAAUAGUGAAACGCAUUAGCCUUUGUCCAUUUGCUCACGUGGGUACAUAAGCACACUCUCUGUGAACAAGAGUUAUGGCCCUUUCACGAAUUGAAACGAUGCAGCGGUAAUGAUUUUCGCCAUGGCACCGACACACAUGCGCCCGCUCAAUCCUCGCAUCCAUGGACAUUCUCAAAUUUCAGGCCACAUCAAGGCAGUUAGUCAUCUUCUGAUUUACAAGAAUACAUUUCCUCACCAGCUUUGGUGUGGAAUUGAAUUCAACCCAAGCAAUUCAAUUCAACCCAAGCAAUUGAAUUCACAGCACUUGAGAAUAGUCUGUUUGCAAGGAAUUUAUUUUUCAUCACAUUAGGGUUCAACAACAUUCUCAUGAAUAAGCAAUGCUAUCAACAGGA